UAAACGAUGAAUACUAGGUGUGGGGGUUGUCAUGACCUCCGUGCCGCCGCUAACGCAUUAAGUAUUCCGCCUGGGGAGUACGGUCGCAAGAUUAAAACUCAAAGGAAUUGACGGGGGCCCGCACAAGCAGCGGAGCAUGUGGUUUAAUUCGAAGCAACGCGAAGAACCUUACCUAGACUUGACAUCUCCUGAAUUACUCUGUAAUGGAGGAAGCCACUUCGGUGGCAGGAAGACAGGUGGUGCAUGGUUGUCGUCAGCUCGUGUCGUGAGAUGUUGGGUUAAGUCCCGCAACGAGCGCAACCCUUAUUGUUAGUUGCUACCAUUUAGUUGAGCACUCUAGCGAGACUGCCCGGGUUAACCAGGAGGAAGGUGGGGAUGACGUCAAAUCAUCAUGCCCCUUAUGUCUAGGGCUACACACGUGCUACAAUGGCUGGUACAGAGAGAUGCGAUACCGCGAGGUGGAGCCAAACUUCAAAACCAGUCUCAGUUCGGAUUGUAGGCUGAAACUCGCCUACAUGAAGCUGGAGUUGCUAGUAAUCGCGAAUCAGAAUGCCGCGGUGAAUACGUUCCCGGGCCUUGUACACACCGCCCGUCACACCAUGAGAGUUGGCAAUACCCAAAGUUCGUGAGCUAACGCGCAAGCGAGGCAGCGACCUAAGGUAGGGUCAGCGAUUGGGGUGAAGUCGUAACAAGGUAACCGUAAAGGG
rnacentral:rRNA from 1 species